GUCUCUUGUUUAAGAUUUUUAGGGUUAGGGUUUCUUCGCAUCGCUCUAUAAAACCUGCACCUGGCGACUUCUCUCCAAGCGAAAUUCGCCGGACUCUGGAGCUCUCUCUUUGUUGUUCUUCUACAUUUUUGUUUGAUUUCGUGUUGUUGAUUAGGAACGGAGAAUAAGCCUAAUAUUGCAAUUCUCUGAUCGGAAAAAUUCUUCUUCAGGAGGAUUGGAAUCGAUCAAAGAAUCUAUCGUUAGGCUAUACGGAAGACCGGUAUGCACAAAUUAAUGUGCGUAUUUCUCCCUUUAGCUCCGGAUCUCCUCGAUAGGAUGUUUCGGUGACAAGUUAUUUUGUGGAUUCUGGUGAGUUUGAUGUGAAAGGAUGAAAAAAAUCAGACGGAUUCCCAAUGAGUAUCCAUGAUAUCACAACCAGCUACUUCUGAUCACAUCUAAACAACCAUCUAGAUUCUGUUUCUUCUGACUUUCCUUUCCUUUUGAAGAACAGCCAAUUUUUUUUCUUUUCGCUGUUUUGUUUUUCUUCAACUGAUGAGGCCGGUGAUGUAAUUACAAAUAUUUGCUACUCUUGAUGGGAUUUUCCCAUUUGAUGAUCACGAACCACCAAGAUCUCUGAGGCCACUCUUUUUAUUAUGAUAAUUUGAUUGGAAAGAUUCAACUUGCAA